AACGAACGCUGGCGGCAUGCCUAACACAUGCAAGUCGAACGAGACGUGGGGGUCUGGUGGAGGGAGGGGAGGUGACGCGUGGGAACCGGGCCUUAGGUUAGGGAUAAGGCCCCGAAAGGGGUGCUAAGCACGGAUAAUGUCUUCGGACCCACGCUUUAUCGCCUUUGGAUGGGCCCGCGUUGGAUUAGCUAGUUGGUAGGGUAAAAGCCUACCAAGGCGACGAUCCAUAGCUGGUCUCAGAGGAUGAUCAGCCACACUGGGACUGCCACACGGCCCAGACUCCUACGGGAGGCUGCAGUGGGGAAUAUUGGACAAUGGGCGAAAGCCUGAUCCAGCCACGCCGCGUCAGUGAUGAAGGCCUUAGGGUUGUAAAGCUCUUUUACCCGGGAUGAUAAUGACAGUACCGGGAGAAUAAGCUCCGGCUAACUCCGUG
rnacentral:rRNA from 1 species